GGCAGCAUGGCUCAGUAGCAAGAGCCCGGGCUUGGCAGUCAGAGGUCAUGGGUUCGAAUCCCAGCUCUGCCA
rfam:Ornithorhynchus anatinus chromosome 7, whole genome shotgun sequence.